UUACUGCGAAGGGGGGACGGAGAAGGCUAUGUUGGCCGGGCGACGGUUGUCCCGGUUUAAGCGUGUAGGCUGGUUUUCCAGGCAAAUCCGGAAAACCAAGGCUGAGGCGUGAUGACGAGGCACUACGGUGCUGAAGCAACAAAUGCCCUGCUUCCAGGAAAAGCCUCUAAGCAUCAGGUAACAUCAAAUCGUACCCCAAACCGACACAGGUGGUCAGGUAGAGAAUACCAAGGCGCUUGAGAGAACUCGGGUGAAGGAACUAGGCAAAAUGGUGCCGUAACUUCGGGAGAAGGCACGCUGAUAUGUAGGUGAGGUCCCUCGCGGAUGGAGCUGAAAUCAGUCGAAGAUACCAGCUGGCUGCAACUGUUUAUUAAAAACACAGCACUGUGCAAACACGAAAGUGGACGUAUACGGUGUGACGCCUGCCCGGUGCCGGAAGGUUAAUUGAUGGGGUUAGCGCAAGCGAAGCUCUUGAUCGAAGCCCCGGUAAACGGCGGCCGUAACUAUAACGGUCCUAAGGUAGCGAAAUUCCUUGUCGGGUAAGUUCCGACCUGCACGAAUGGCGUAAUGAUGGCCAGGCUGUCUCCACCCGAGACUCAGUGAAAUUGAACUCGCUGUGAAGAUGCAGUGUACCCGCGGCAAGACGGAAAGACCCCGUGAACCUUUACUAUAGCUUGACACUGAACAUUGAGCCUUGAUGUGUAGGAUAGGUGGGAGGCUUAGAAGUGUGGACGCCAGUCUGCAUGGAGCCGACCUUGAAAUACCACCCUUUAAUGUUUGAUGUUCUAACGUGGACCCGUAAUCCGGGUUGCGGACAGUGUCUGGUGGGUAGUUUGACUGGGGCGGUCUCCUCCUAAAGAGUAACGGAGGAGCACGAAGGUUGGCUAAUCCUGGUCGGACAUCAGGAGGUUAGUGCAAUGGCAUAAGCCAGCUUGACUGCGAGCGUGACGGCGCGAGCAGGUGCGAAAGCAGGUCAUAGUGAUCCGGUGGUUCUGAAUGGAAGGGCCAUCGCUCAACGGAUAAAAGGUACUCCGGGGAUAACAGGCUGAUACCGCCCAAGAGUUCAUAUCGACGGCGGUGUUUGGCACCUCGAUGUCGGCUCAUCACAUCCUGGGGCUGAAGUAGGUCCCAAGGGUAUGGCUGUUCGCCAUUUAAAGUGGUACGCGAGCUGGGUUUAGAACGUCGUGAGACAGUUCGGUCCCUAUCUGCCGUGGGCGCUGGAGAACUGAGGGGGGCUGCUCCUAGUACGAGAGGACCGGAGUGGACGCAUCACUGGUGUUCGGGUUGUCAUGCCAAUGGCACUGCCCGGUAGCUAAAUGCGGAAGAGAUAAGUGCUGAAAGCAUCUAAGCACGAAACUUGCCCCGAGAUGAGUUCUCCCUGACCCCUUAAGAGUCCUGAAGGAACGUUGAAGACGACGACGUUGAUAGGCCGGGUGUGUAAGCGCAGCGAUGCGUUGAGCUAACCGGUACUAAUGAACCGUGAGGCUUAACCUU
rnacentral:rRNA from 1 species